ensembl:lncRNA
UCUAAGCAAGUCCUCAUACUUAUUGGGAAAAAAAAAAAUAAAAUGUUGAAACAAAACCCUAGAGAAAGCCUUUUCUUUCUUUCUUUCUUUCUUUCUUCUUUUUUUCAAAUGUGGUGGGCUGUCUGUGAGUCAGCUGCCAAAUGCCCACCCAGCAACUUUCAGCACUCCCACCAGGAAAGGAGAAGAUAAGAUGAAAAAUGUCCCUGUGUUGAGAAGAAAGAGGAACAAAAUGCAAGAACAAUCACAGUGCUGAAAAUCCUAAGCAAAAUCCUAAGAGAAUGUUGGCUAUGUAACCAAAGUAAGUUUCAGGCUAGACAACAGCUUAGGAGCAGACCUUGGAGACACAAGAAGGAAGGGUCAUUACUUUUUACUGUCCUUUUAUGGACUGCAGUGUCUAGCUGCUUUCUGAUAAUUUUAUCAGACCUUGUAUUGUUUGUAUUAAUAUUAAUUAGUAUUAAUAGAAACCUUGUAUUAGGUUUUAUCAACAAUACUAGUAGGCCAUACACCACCUGAUAUUGUACUCAGUAGAUAUGUUAUGAGAAGUUGUCAUCAGAGUAGGAGAACAUCCCAUAUGAAAGCAGAUGUAUGCGUAAAUAGUAAUAAUCUAGGAUAGAGUAUUCAUGUAUAUCGCUGUUUGGGAACAAGUUAACAACAACACAGCCUAUAAGGAGACUGUGAAAUUCUGAAAUAUCCAAAUCGCAAUGUUUCUCAAAGUAUAUUAUAAAGCUGAGCGUGAAUUGCUCAUAAAAGCUUGUAGUAUACCAGAGUAUGACACAAUGAUGUCAGCAGAACAAUAGCUUCCCCAGAGAACAGCUAUGAUUACAUGUUUUUCACCAAACUCUGGCUCAGCUGGUCAUGCCAUCUCCCUGGAAAGCAGCAGAGAAGUCAGCAACGACCAAAGCUCUGAACAGUUUGUGGAUGGUCUGGAUCAUAGAGUCAUGGAAUCAUAGAUCAGUUUGAGAUGGAUAGGAUUUUUAAAAGUCAUCCAGUCCAACUCCCUUGCCAUGGGCAUGGACAUAUCUCACCAGAUUAUGUUGCUGAAUAUGUUGUCCUGUCCAACCUGGCAUUGAACACUUCCAGGGAUGAGGUAGCUGUAACUUCUCUGUUUCAUUGUCUAUAGCCCUCUAAUUGAAA